CCUGUGGACACCUUCUGGUCACCCAGGCUUGCGGGGCCAGAUGGGAUUUUGGUUUGGGACUUUGUGCUGGUGAAAGGGCACCAGGCAGGGCCCUCGACAUCUCUGUCCUCAGCGACCUGCCCAGCCCCUUGGGAGCUCAGGCACCGGUACCACCUUUGUCAGACAGAUCCACAAAGAAUACGGAGGAACAUGGAGCAGACUUGAACCCAACCCAUGGCCUGGAACCCAGUUCAGCUGAUCUACAACCUGAAACAAAACUACCUAGCUGAGCCCAGCCUGGACCAGGCAAAUCGCAGUCAACCUGCA